rnacentral:rRNA from 1 species
UACGAAGGGGGCUAGCGUUGCUCGGAAUCACUGGGCGUAAAGCGCACGUAGGCGGAUGUGUCAGUCAGGGGUGAAAUCCCGGAGCUCAACUUCGGAACUGCCUUUGAUACAGCACGUCUUGAGUCCGAUAGAGGUGGGUGGAAUUCCUAGUGUAGAGGUGAAAUUCGUAGAUAUUCGGAAGAACACCAGUGGCGAAGGCGGCUCACUGGACUGGUAUUGACGCUGAGGUGCGAAAGCGUGGGGAGCAAACAGG